rnacentral:lncRNA from 1 species
AUGAAUUCAACUGAGGUAAAAAGAGAAAGUAGCCAACUAAAAACCGUAACUCAGAAAGAUCAAAGCUCUGUUAUACAGCUGCCCAUUUGCUUCAACACUUCUCCACCUCCACUCUCAACGGCUCAGACUAAACCAAUCAUAGGAUUGGAUACCGCAGGUCUCCAACCUCAGGCAGCCUUUUUCUUCCCCCCCAUAAAGCUCCAGGUCCAAAGUGAAGCCAUUAGCACUGGGGCGAGAAGGAACAUGCCUCUCUUGCUCCUGCGGGUGGCGGGGUCCCAUACCACCCGGGGGAGGUUUCCUAAUCCGGACACCCUGGCCGGGACUCUGAACCCUAGUCCGCGCAGCCGUGACGCACGCAGGCCGAGCACUUCGUCAGCUAUGAAGCCGCGAGCCGCUUCUCUGAGGCGUCUCUGGCGCAAUUCAAACCGCGCGUCCAGGCCUGAGCGCCUAGCCACGCGUCGCAGACUCUUAGAAGCCCAUUCCAUUCAAGGAGGAGAGACGGAGACGACGACGACCCCUGCGCCUCGCCCUUUAAGGAACACCCCCCCAUUAGAUCCUGGCCGGGCUCUGAGUAUUUCCUCGCGAGAGCUACCGGCUUCCGCCCGCUUCCUCCUUUCGCUUCGCCGGGCCGGAAGGAAGGCGGUACUUCCCCGCCCCCCGGCCUCUACCUCACAAGGCAGCGCGGCCUCGGCUGCGGCCAAUCGGCGGGCUCCUUGUAGGCCUCGGCGCAGAGAACCAAUGGAAAGUCGCGGCGCACGCAGAGCUUCCCCUCUUCCGCACCAGCCCCCUCCCUUCCGCCCGCCGACUUCCACUCAGCCUCUGGCAGAGGAAGUGAUGUCACAGGCCCCAUGUGAGCGGAUUGCAACACAUGCAGCUGCCUGGAGAGAGGGAGCCGGUGUCCUACGUCAGAGCCGCCGCCGCGGAGCCGCCGCCGGGGAGGAGCAGCCGCUGCCGCCCAGGACUGGGCCCUUAGGUAAGCCAGGGAGAGGGAAAGGCCAGUGA